rnacentral:rRNA from 1 species
AUACGGAGGGUGCAAGCGUUAUUCGGAAUCACUGGGCAUAAAGGACGCGUAGGCGGGUUGGCAAGUCAGAUGUGAAAUCCUACAGCUUAACUGUAGAACUGCAUUUGAAACUGCUAACCUAGAGUAUGGGAGGGGGAGAUGGAAUUAGUGGUGUAGGGGUAAAAUCCGUAGAUAUCACUAGGAAUACCGAAAGCGAAGGCGAUCUCCUGGAACAUAACUGACGCUAAGGCGUGAAAGCGUGGGGAGCAAACAGGAUUAGAUACCCUAGUAGUCC